AAAUUGAAGAGUUUGAUCAUGGCUCAGAUUGAACGCUGGCGGCAGGCCUAACACAUGCAAGUCGAACGGUAACAGGAAGCAGCUUGCUGCUUUGCUGACGAGUGGCGGACGGGUGAGUAAUGUCUGGGAAACUGCCUGAUGGAGGGGGAUAACUACUGGAAACGGUGGCUAAUACCGCAUAACGUCGCAAGACCAAAGAGGGGGACCUUCGGGCCUCUUGCCAUCAGAUGUGCCCAGAUGGGAUUAGCUUGUUGGUGAGGUAACGGCUCACCAAGGCGACGAUCCCUAGCUGGUCUGAGAGGAUGACCAGCCACACUGGAACUGAGACACGGUCCAGACUCCUACGGGAGGCAGCAGUGGGGAAUAUUGCACAAUGGGCGCAAGCCUGAUGCAGCCAUGCCGCGUGUAUGAAGAAGGCCUUCGGGUUGUAAAGUACUUUCAGCGGGGAGGAAGGUGUUGUGGUUAAUAACCGCAGCAAUUGACGUUACCCGCAGAAGAAGCACCGGCUAACUCCGUGCCAGCAGCCGCGGUAAUACGGAGGGUGCAAGCGUUAAUCGGAAUUACUGGGCGUAAAGCGCACGCAGGCGGUCUGUCAAGUCGGAUGUGAAAUCCCCGGGCUCAACCUGGGAACUGCAUUCGAAACUGGCAGGCUUGAGUCUUGUAGAGGGGGGUAGAAUUCCAGGUGUAGCGGUGAAAUGCGUAGAGAUCUGGAGGAAUACCGGUGGCGAAGGCGGCCCCCUGGACAAAGACUGACGCUCAGGUGCGAAAGCGUGGGGAGCAAACAGGAUUAGAUACCCUGGUAGUCCACGCCGUAAACGAUGUCUACUUGGAGGUUGUGCCCUUGAGGCGUGGCUUCCGGAGCUAACGCGUUAAGUAGACCGCCUGGGGAGUACGGCCGCAAGGUUAAAACUCAAAUGAAUUGACGGGGGCCCGCACAAGCGGUGGAGCAUGUGGUUUAAUUCGAUGCAACGCGAAGAACCUUACCUGGUCUUGACAUCCACGGAAGUUUUCAGAGAUGAGAAUGUGCCUUCGGGAACCGUGAGACAGGUGCUGCAUGGCUGUCGUCAGCUCGUGUUGUGAAAUGUUGGGUUAAGUCCCGCAACGAGCGCAACCCUUAUCCUUUGUUGCCAGCGGUCCGGCCGGGAACUCAAAGGAGACUGCCAGUGAUAAACUGGAGGAAGGUGGGGAUGACGUCAAGUCAUCAUGGCCCUUACGACCAGGGCUACACACGUGCUACAAUGGCGCAUACAAAGAGAAGCGACCUCGCGAGAGCAAGCGGACCUCAUAAAGUGCGUCGUAGUCCGGAUUGGAGUCUGCAACUCGACUCCAUGAAGUCGGAAUCGCUAGUAAUCGUGGAUCAGAAUGCCACGGUGAAUACGUUCCCGGGCCUUGUACACACCGCCCGUCACACCAUGGGAGUGGGUUGCAAAAGAAGUAGGUAGCUUAACCUUCGGGAGGGCGCUUACCACUUUGUGAUUCAUGACUGGGGUGAAGUCGUAACAAGGUAACCGUAGGGGAACCUGCGGUUGGAUCACCUCCUUACCUUAAAGAA
rnacentral:rRNA from 5 species